UACGUAGGGUGCAAGCAUUAUCCGGAGUGACUGGGCGUAAAGAGUUGCGUAGGUGGUUAGUAAAGCGAAUAGUGAAAUCUGGGGGCUCAACCUCACAGACUAUUAUUCGAACUCACUAACUCGAGAAUGGUAGAGGUAACUGGAAUUUCUAGUGUAGGAGUGAAAUCCGUAGAUAUUAGAAGGAACACCAAUGGCGUAGGCAGGUUACUGGACCAUUUCUGACACUGAGGCACGAAAGCGUGGGGAGCGAACGGG
rnacentral:rRNA from 1 species